rnacentral:rRNA from 1 species
UACGUAGGGUGCGAGCGUUAAUCGGAAUUACUGGGCGUAAAGCGUGCGCAGGCGGUUUUGUAAGCCAGAUGUGAAAUCCCCGGGCUUAACCUGGGAAUGGCAUUUGGGACUGCAAGGCUCGAGUGCGGCAGAGGAGACUGGAAUUCCUGGUGUAGCAGUGAAAUGCGUAGAUAUCAGGAAGAACACCAAUGGCGAAAGCAGCUCUCUGGGACGGUACUGACGCUGAGACGCGAAAGCGUGGGGAGCGAACAGG